rnacentral:rRNA from 1 species
GACGAACGCUGGCGGCGUGCCUAAUACAUGCAAGUCGAGCGCAGGAAGCCGUCUGAACCCUUCGGGGGGACGACGGUGGAAUGAGCGGCGGACGGGUGAGUAACACGUAAAGAACCUGCCCAUAGGUCUGGGAUAACCACGAGAAAUCGGGGCUAAUACCGGAUGUGUCAUCGGACCGCAUGGUCCGCUGAUGAAAGGCGCUCCGGCGUCGCCCAUGGAUGGCUUUGCGGUGCAGUAGCUAGUUGGUGGGGUAACGGCCCACCAAGGCGACGGUGCAGAGCAGACCUGAGAGGGUGAUCGGCCACACUGGGACUGAGACACGGCCCAGACUCCUACGGGAGGCAGCAGUAGGGAAUUGUCCACAAUGGACGAAAGUCUGAUGGAGCAACGCCGCGUGAACGAUGAAGGCUUUCGGGUCGUAAAGUUCUGUUGUAAGGGAAGAACAAGUGCCGCAGGAAGUGGCGGCACCUUGACGGUACCUUGCGAGAAAGCCACGGCUAACUACGUGCCAGCCGCCGCAGUAAGAC